CAGGCCUAAUACAUGCAAGUCGAGGGGUAGAGGUUGCUUGCAACCUUGAGACCGGCGCACGGGUGCGUAACGCGUAUGCAACCUACCUUCAUCUGGGGGAUAGCCCGGAGAAAUCCGGAUUAACACCGCAUAAAAUCACAGUACUGCAUAGUACAAUGAUCAAAUAUUUAUAGGAUGGGGAUGGGCAUGCGUGUCAUUAGCUAGUUGGCGGGGUAACGGCCCACCAAGGCGACGAUGACUAGGGGAUCUGAGAGGAUGGCCCCCCACACUGGUACUGAGACACGGACCAGACUCCUACGGGAGGCAGCAGUAAGGAAUAUUGGUCAAUGGAGGCAACUCUGAACCAGCCAUGCCGCGUGCAGGAAGACUGCCCUAUGGGUUGUAAACUGCUUUUAUUCGGGAAUAAACCUAGAUACGUGUAUUUAGCUGAAUGUACCGAAGGAAUAAGGAUCGGCUAACUCCGUGCCAGCAGCCGCGGUAAUACGGAGGAUCCAAGCGUUAUCCGGAUUUAUUGGGUUUAAAGGGUGCGUAGGCGGCCUGUUAAGUCAGGGGUGAAAGACGGUAGCUCAACUAUCGCAGUGCCCUUGAUACUGAUGGGCUUGAAUGGACUAGAGGUAGGCGGAAUGAGACAAGUAGCGGUGAAAUGCAUAGAUAUGUCUCAGAACACCGAUUGCGAAGGCAGCUUACUAUGGUCUUAUUGACGCUGAGGCACGAAAGCGUGGGGAUCAAACAGGAUUAGAUACCCUGGUAGUCCACGCCCUAAACGAUGAACACUCGCUGUU
rnacentral:rRNA from 1 species